ACACACGCUUCACGUAAAUUUCAUGCAAUUUGUUAUGUUUUAUGUGCCUCGUCUGGCGGCAGCUUCAACUCUGACGGGGGCGCUGGCAGCUCGAAUGUUACGCCUGGGAAUCUCAAAAUGACAGACUUCAAUUUAUACAAUUUAUUUUAUUAAGUCAAACAUUUGUCUCCCCAUGUGUGGGUUUGUGUGUGUGUGCGUGUGUGUGAGUCGUUUAAUAUGGGCAAUUUUUUUUCUGACCAGCCUCUUCCUGGAUUUCCGUUCUGAAAAUCUAUAAAAAAAAAAAAUAAAACAAAAAAGGAAAUUGAAAAUCAAAAUGUGAGAGCGAAACAGACAGACAGCAUUACGAGUACAUGAAUUUGUCCCUUUAUGGCGCGUUAAAAUUUCAUUUUUAGUGCACACAUAAAAUCUAGGAAUUGCCAAAUUUCAAUUGCUUCUUGGCUCGGAUGCGGCUGGCAGAAGGGAAGACCUGGCCUGGAAGACCUGCCCAACUAAGCGCCCAUAUAAAUCUCAAUUUAUGUUGCCUAUUUAGGCAUUUUGGGCACGCUGCUGCCAUUUGGGUUAGGCUCGCUUUAGGCCUCAAAAUUAUUGAAUCUAAUUAACUUAAAUGAAAUGAAUGAAGACUACAAAUGCGUCUGCUGAACUCGUAAAACUUGGUCAAGCCCCGUGGCAAUGAGUGCCUGUGCGUGUGUGUGUGUGUGUGUGGGGCUCAUUUAAUUUAUGGAUGUGUAUAUAAAUUCAUUUGGAGCUCUUUAAUUGCAGCUUAAUGGCAGGAACCUUGUAAUGUCAGCUCCCCACGCCCCGCUUCGGCCUGUGUGUACCCCAAUGCCUGAGCCUGAAGGUCAACAGAUUGAUUGAGGAUUAGGGCGUCCGUUCGUUGGAAGUGAAAGACCUCAAAGUGUGUUCGGCUGAAAUUGUUUAUUUGCCUUAUUUUUCUUCAAUUGAUGGCAUGACAAAAUUCUACCGAAUCCUUGUAAUUAAUCAUUUAAGCAAAGGCGGCAACUCCUCACAGCUCCUCACAGUUCCUUGGAGCUGUCCUUCUAAUAUUUAUAAAGCAAAUUGGCUGCCAGAUUGUGUGUUUGCGUAUUUAUGUACUUUAAAGGGCUUUUUGAUGUCCUCAUUUCAUUGGGCUUACAUAAAUUGAAAGUAAACAGCUUAGCUUUUCGGCUGUAUGGGAAAA